rnacentral:sRNA from 1 species
AACUGAAAUUUUAUUGGCCAACUUAAGG